rnacentral:lncRNA from 1 species
AAUGAGUUCUGAAUAGACAGCAUUUUCUUUGUGUGAUUGGUAAAUAACACAGAGCAAAGUUAGCAAGUUGCAGGCUUCUGCAUUCUGACUCUAUGCAACCUUUUUGUGGAGAGAAGGGCAGGAUGUUUCUCACAGAAUGUAACCUCACAGGACUACUAGAGACAGUAAUGAGAUAUCUGAAUGGAUCAACAUGGAGAAACCCUAGGAGAAAUAGCAUAAGAACACUUGGAACAUAUGAAAGAAAAGAUAAUUUUCCACAUACCUGUAGACAUCUACCAGGUACAGUGAAGAAGCUUUUGGUCUUCGGGAAGAGCUGGCUGAAUUGAAAGCUAUGUGCUUUGGUAUCGAAUCUACAUAAAAGGAAGGUAGAUAGCAUUUCUAUUAUGUUAAAAACAAUGUAUUUACAUAUCUGAGGAUUGUGACAAUGUUGCAGAUAGCAUGGUAAGAAUCACUGUAAACCAGGGCUCAAAUAUAUUAUCUGUAAAUGUCAGAAAGUAUCAUUAAUUUGUUUUUAAUUGACAAAUAAAAGUUCAGUUUUUAGCCCUCAUCCUAGUAUUUUCAAAUAUUCCUUCAUGAUAAAAAUGUACUUGUGGUUGAUAGGCCAGAAAACCAGACUUAUUCUACGUGCUUUCCACUCACAGGAGCCUCUUCCACUGAAGGCUUUUACACAGUCCCAUCCUUCGCUACAUCAAAGUCACUGCUGGUACCCUCACAUUUACCCAGGUGUAUAUGUCAGCCUUUCUUUCCUUCUUGACUCAGCUCCAGCUCUUGAGAUGGCUCUGUCAAUGUUUCCCAAGUGAGGCAAGGGUAACAGUGAUGGAGCCCAUUGACCGCAUGUCUGUUUAACAGUGGCAAGAAGGACCAAAGGAGAUGAGCAGGCUGUAGAAGAGUAAACACGAUGGGCUUUAGGGACCAAGUGAGAAAAUAAACUACUACCGAACCGAUGACCUUAGGAACUACUUGAGCACUAUGACCUUAUUCUAUCAAUAGAGAGAGGCCUAGGGAAAGUGUGGGCCUGGGGUCAGCUCACCUUCAAGAGAGAACCAAGAAAGAAGAGCAGCUGGAAUAUGGCCCUCAAGAGGAAGGACGGAAGUUAGGAGAGGUAGAGGGAGAAGAAUAGUAAAGUGAUAUAUAAGAUAUAUAGGUAUAAAGUCAUUAUAAUGAAACUCAUUUUGCCCACUAAAUAUAUAUAAAUAAAUAAGAAAAACAAAAAUCCUUGAUUAUAUCCUUAUAAUGAAAUAUAUUUAAGUGAACUAAAUAUUAUAACUAAAAUAUAAAGAUUCUGUUUAUCUCAACUAAAGCAGGUAUACUAUAGCAUCAAAUAUCCUAGACACUGCAGAAUACUAAUUUUUGUUUGUUUGCUUGAAUUUUUCCAGACAUUCUUGCAGUGUAACUCAGCAUUAUGUACUCAGGCUGUUCUUGUGCGGGUAACCACCCUCCUC